GUUGCGGGGGAUUCUUGGUGGAAGAGCCCUAGGUUCUUGGUUCUGUUUCUUGCCCUAGAUCUUGGCGGAAGGAUCGAUGUGUUGCAUAGCCAUGGAUCUGUCAACCAGCUUCCCUUUCAGUUUGUCUUCUUCUCGAAUGAACCAGGAAAUUAUGCUGAAAAAAAAAACAUGUCACUAUCCUUUGAUAACCAGUUUUUGUCAGUUCUUGAUGGCAUUUCUGUUCAUUAUUCAGAUUUUGAUAACCACAUGUCCUCAUGGAUUAGCUGCUUUUUAGCUUGGAUACUUAAUUUUAGCCAGCACUGGCUGCCUCAACAAACUACUAUGCUAAUUAUAAACCUUUUCUAUUUCCAUCUUUCUGUUUAUGAUUCAUUAAAUCUUAGCCAUUUUCCAUCAGAUGCUUUGGAAGCUUCAGGCGUUUUCAACAGACAUGAAGGCCUGGCAUUACUGACAACUAUUGUUGAGGGUGGUGGAAACUGCAAUCCUGCUAGUGAUCCAUUAACAAACCAGCCCCUGUUAUCAGCAAACAUCAUUAACAAGCAUAUUUUUCUGCUUUAUUUGGAGAAGAAAGCUUUGCGCAUCGAUGCUGAAAUAUAA
rnacentral:lncRNA from 1 species